rnacentral:rRNA from 1 species
AGGACGAACGCUGGCGGCGUGCCUAACACAUGCAAGUCGAACGAGGUCCAACCGGUAGCAAUACCGGUGAAGACCAAGUGGCGAACGGGUGAGUAGCACGUGAGCAACCUACCCCGAAGACCGGGACAACACCGGGAAACCGGUGCUAAUACCGGAUAUCCCCACCGAGUCGCAUGGCUUGGUGAGGAAAUGGAUUCCGCUUCGGGAGGGGCUCGCGGCCUAUCAGCUAGUUGGUGAGGUAACGGCUCACCAAGGCUUCGACGGGUAGCUGGUCUGAGAGGACGAUCAGCCACACUGGGACUGAGACACGGCCCAGACUCCUACGGGAGGCAGCAGUGGGGAAUCUUGCACAAUGGGCGAAAGCCUGAUGCAGCAACGCCGCGUGAGGGACGAAGGCUUUCUGAGUUGUAAACCUCUUUCAGCAGGGACGAUGAUGACGGUACCUGCAGAAGAGCCCCGGCAACGUACGCGCCAGCAGCCGCGGU